rnacentral:lncRNA from 1 species
UUCACAUCUACAUGAUCCAAUUUAUAUAUUUUUGCACAACAAAAUAGCAUUUUAAAAUCAAGGUCACUGUACAAAUAGAUGACAGGACAACCAGGAGAGGAGUAUUGCAGAUGAAAAACAUCACUGGAAGAAAACCUAAAUCGUCGACGAAUGGUGUCGAUCAAGUCAGAAAACCUCAUAAGAUCAUUCAGUUGAAGAUAAAAUCCGUUUCCAGUAUAGAUAAACUGAGCAAUCAAAGAAUCACCAACAUUCCUACAUAUAAACAAACAAAAUAAACCAAUUAUUAACCCCCAAUAACUUAGGUCACAACUACUAGACAACUUGAAAACUGAAACAUGAUGCUUGAAAAACAAAUAAAGCACAAUAAAACAACAAUUACUCACACCAAAACAUAGUUCAAACAUAAUUAUUGACCACCCAAACUAGUUACCGACCCCCAGUAACCAUAUCACAAUUUCCAGAAAUAUUCCAAAACAGAUGCUGUGCAAAAGGAAAGAUUAGCAAAGUUCAGCAAACACAAAUAAUCAACAAUUAUUGACAACUAGUAAAACCUAACAACAGAUUACAACCUAGCAGAUAGAACAAAAAGGAUUCAAAACAAACAGUUUCACCAAAACAAAAACGAAAAUAAAUCUAAAUCCAACUAAAUUCAAAACAAACAGAACGAAAGAAAAAGAAAGGAGAAACAAACCGAGAAGGAAGUGACGAGCAAACUAAAGAUCGAUCUCGCUCCAUCAACUAAACGAUUCUGAUCGAUCUCGCCGGAUAUUCGUCGGAAAAUGUCGACGAAAACCGCGCUAUCGCUCGCUCACUCGAUCUCUCUCUCUCGCUCGCUCGAUCGAUCUCUCUCGCUCUGUAGCUUUCUCUCUCUUCGAAACAGAAAUUUGAAAUCUGCGGGGAGGCUGUUAUACUAUAAGCUAGAAGGGCAUUUUGGUUUUGAAAAUAAUAGAUAUUGUGGGUCAGACACGUAAGAUUUGAUUAUUUGGGCAAAAAAAGGAAGACCUUGUAUUGGAAUGGGCUAUCAAAUAUUAGAUUCAUUCAAAUGGGCUAAGGGAGGGAUAAAUUAGUAGUAAAGGGGCAUUUUCCCUUCAUUUUAUCGGUUCACGAGAUCAAGUCACAGAUGCACUUAUAUGUACGUAUGUUUACAAUAUAGCAUAAAUUAGAGUAAAUUUUAGUUUACUCCCCUGAACUUUAGGUCUAAAAUCAGUCCGAUACCUCAUCUUUUUUUUUAAUCAGUUUCAUCCCUAAACUUUCAAAAUGACAUCAAUCUCGACCAAAAUGACUAAAAUAGCCCUUGUUAAUCUUUUUACCUCAAUUUUUUUACC